rnacentral:rRNA from 1 species
CCUACGGGAGGCAGCAGUAGGGAAUCUUCCGGGGUUUGGACGCAGUCUGAUGGAGCACGCCGCGUGAGUGAAGAAGGUUUUCGGAUCGUAAAGCUCUGUUGUUGGUGAAGAAGGAUAGAGGCAGUAACUGGUCUUUAUUUGACGGUAAUCAACCAGAAAGUCACGGCUAACUACGUGCCAGCAGCCGCGGUAA